rnacentral:rRNA from 1 species
CUGGCGGCGUGCUUAACACAUGCAAGUCGAACGGGAUUUAGUAGACAGAAGCUUCGGUGGAAGAUUACUAAUGAGAGUGGCGAACGGGUGAGUAACGCGUGAGCAACCUGCCUAUGACAGUGGGAUAGCCUCGGGAAACCGGGAUUAAUACCGCAUAAAAUCGUGGAAACACAUGUUUCAACGGUCAAAGAUUUAUCGGUCAUAGAUGGGCUCGCGUCUGAUUAGCUAGUUGGUGAGAUAACAGCCCACCAAGGCGACGAUCAGUAGCCGGUCUGAGAGGAUGAACGGCCACAUUGGAACUGAGACACGGUCCAAACUCCUACGGGAGGCAGCAGUGGGGAAUAUUGCACAAUGGGGGAAACCCUGAUGCAGCGACGCCGCGUGAACGAAGAAGGUAUUCGUAUCGUAAAGUUCUGUCCUAUGGGAAGAUAAUGACAGUACCAUAGAAGAAAGCUCCGGCUAAAUACGUGCCAGCAGCCGCGGUAAUACGUAUGGAGCGAGCGUUGUCCGGAAUUAUUGGGCGUAAAGGGUACGCAGGCGGUUUAAUAAGUCGAAUGUUAAAGAUCGGGGCUCAACCCCGUAAAGCAUUGGAAACUGAUAAACUUGAGUAGUGGAGAGGAAAGUGGAAUUCCUAGUGUAGUGGUGAAAUACGUAGAUAUUAGGAGGAAUACCAGUAGCGAAGGCGACUUUCUGGACACAAACUGA